CCCUUAGAUGUUCUGGGCCGCACGCGCGCUACACUGAUGCAUUCAACGAGUAUAAAACCUGUGCCGAGAGGCUUGGGUAAUCUUUUGAAAGUGCAUCGUGAUUGGGAUAGAUGAUUGCAAUUUUUCAUCUUCAACGAGGAAUGCCUAGUAAACGCAAGUCAUCAGCUUGCAUUGAUUACGUCCCUGCCCUUUGUACACACCGCCCGUCGCUCCUACCGAUUGAAUGGUCCGAUGAAAACUAUGGAUUGAGCGUAUGAGUGGCAUUUGUCACUUCCGCGUCUCGAGAAGUAGUUUGAACCUUAUCAUUUAGAGGAAGGAGAAGUCGUAACA
rnacentral:rRNA from 1 species